rnacentral:rRNA from 1 species
UACAGAGGUCUCAAGCGUUGUUCGGAUUCAUUGGGCGUAAAGGGUGCGUAGGUGGCGCCGUAAGUCGGGUGUGAAAUUUCGGAGCUUAACUCCGAAACUGCAUUCGAUACUGCGGUGCUUGAGGACUGGAGAGGAGACUGGAAUUCAUGGUGUAGCAGUGAAAUGCGUAGAGAUCAUGAGGAAGACCAGUGGCGAAGGCGGGUCUCUGGACAGUUCCUGACACUGAGACGCGAAGGCCAGGGGAGCAAACGGG